rnacentral:rRNA from 1 species
GAUUAGUGGCGAACGGGUGAGUAACACGUGAGCAAUCUGCCCUUGACUCUGGGAUAAGCGUUGGAAACGACGUCUAAUACCGGAUACGACCCUCGGAGGCAUCUCCUGGGGGUGGAAAGAAUUUUGGUCAAGGAUGAGCUCGCGGCCUAUCAGCUUGUUGGUGAGGUAAUGGCUCACCAAGGCGACGACGGGUAGCCGGCCUGAGAGGGUGACCGGCCACACUGGGACUGAGACACGGCCCAGACUCCUACGGGAGGCAGCAGUGGGGAAUAUUGCACAAUGGGCGAAAGCCUGAUGCAGCAACGCCGCGUGAGGGACGACGGCCUUCGGGUUGUAAACCUCUUUUAGUAGGGAAGAAGCGAAAGUGACGGUACCUGCAGAAAAAGCACCGGCUAACUACGUGCCAGCAGCCGCGGUAAUACGUAGGGUGCAAGCGUUGUCCGGAAUUAUUGGGCGUAAAGAGCUCGUAGGCGGUUUGUCGCGUCUGCUGUGAAAACCCGAGGCUCAACCUCGGGCCUGCAGUGGGUACGGGCAGACUAGAGUGCGGUAGGGGAGAUUGGAAUUCCUGGUGUAGCGGUGGAAUGCGCAGAUAUCAGGAGGAACACCGAUGGCGAAGGCAGAUCUCUGGGCCGUAACUGACGCUGAGGAGCGAAAGCAUGGGGAGCGAACAGGAUUAGAUACCCUGGUAGUCCAUGCCGUAAACGUUGGGAACUAGAUGUGGGGACCAUUCCACGGUCUCCGUGUCGCAGCUAACGCAUUAAGUUCCCCGCCUGGGGAGUACGGCCGCAAG